GAUGAAUACAAUUGUCCAAAUAGCCCAGUAAAAUGUGAUGUUGGCAAACGAAUUUGUGAUAACGGAAACUGUAUUCCCUCUCAACUCUGGUGCAAUGGUAUCGACGAUUGCGGUGAUGAAAGUGAUGAAACAACCUGUUUCAGGAACACAUUAAUUGCUGCUGCAGUGAUGGGUGUCCUUCUUUGCGGACUCUUGCUAAUAAUAGCUGUAGCCUGCACUUGUCGCCUUUACAGUUUACGGCUAAGCCACGCAAGAUUCCAUGUCUCUCCACAUUUAACCUCAAGGCUAAGGUUAAAUCAGUCAGCAACUUUGCCGCCAUUAAUCGAUGAUGAGUUCUUCCAUCGAGAACCUCCUCCUGCCUAUUCAGUAGCAAUUGGAGACUAUCCACCUCCAAUCCUCCAACCUCUACAGCCAAUGCCUCCGCGACAAUUGAGUCAUGGAAGACGUAUUAGAAGACUCGGAUCUAAUCGAAGAUAUUCUCGAACUUAUGGAGUUCGGCAACACAUCCGACAGAAUUACCCGGUAACUGAAGCUAGUUCGUCACUGAUAGUUACAAGGAAUGAACCUAUCAUCAAUAACUCUGCAAACUGUGAUAAACCCCCAGAAAAUAGUGAAAGAGUAGAUUUAAGCUCGAAUUCUAGUUCCAAUUCGUCACCGGCACACGGGAGCACCAAUUUAUCAAGUUCCUCGACCAAUCCAACAGAGAGCACUGUUUUGCUCCCAUCGUAG
rnacentral:lncRNA from 1 species